rnacentral:rRNA from 1 species
GUAACGGCGAGUGAAGCGGCAAUUGCUCAAAUUUAAAAUCUGGUCCCUUUAGGGGCCCGACUUGUAAUUUGCAGAGGAAGCUUCGGUGAAGGCGCCUUUCCAAGUCCCCUGGAACGGGACGUCUUAGAGGGUGAGAACCCCGUCAGAUCGCGUGCCUAAUCCAUGUGUUGCUCCUUCGACGAGUCGAGUUGUUUGGGAAUGCAGCUCAAAAUGGGUGGUAAAUUCCAUCUAAGGCUAAAUAUCGGCCAGAGACCGAUAGCGCACAAGUAGAGUGAUCGAAAGAUGAAAAGCACUUUGAAAAGAGAGUUAAAAAGCACGUGAAAUUGUUGAAAGGGAAGCGCUUGCGGCCAGACUCUUUUGUGGUUGUUCAACCGGUCGUCGAUCGGCUCAUUCUUCCGCAAUAGGGCCAACAUCGGUUUGAGUGGUCGGAUAAAGGCCUAUGGAAUGUAGCCCUUCGGGGUGUUAUAGCCUAAGGCGAAAUGCGACUUGCUUAGACUGAGGGAAGCGG